UACGAAGGGGGGCUAGCGUUGCUCGGAAUCACUGGGCGUAAAGGGCGCGUAGGCGGCGUUUUUUAAGUCGGGGGGUGAAAGCCUGUGGCUCAACCACAGAAUGGCCUUCGAUACUGGGACGCUUGAGUAUGGUUAGAGGUUGGUGGAACUGCGAGUGUAGAGGUGAAAUUCGUAGAUAUUCGCAAGAACACCAGUGGCGAAGGCGGCUCACUGGCCCGAUACUGACGCUGAGGCACGAAAGCGUGGGGGAGCAAACAGG
rnacentral:rRNA from 1 species